UUGCAUCGUUGAAAUACCCAA
ensembl:piRNA 21ur-4905 ncRNA